UAGAGGCUCAGGCGCUCCUCAAACCUGUCCAGAAGGAUACAUCAGCAGUAGAGAGAGACAGGCCAGCUGCAGCCUGUGUCCUCAGGGUUACUACUGUCCUGCCAAUGGUUCCUCCUCUGAGGGCAUUGAAUGCCCAGUGGGCCAUUAUUGCCCUAUGGGCACACAUCUACAAAAUCAGCACCCAUGUCCAGCAGGGACUAUUAAUCCCCAUACAAGAAUGAGCAGCCGUGAAGACUGUUUACCCUGCCCUCCAGGUACCAUUUCUACAAGCGACUGAACUCCUAUCAAGUAAUUUCUCAGUGUUACCCAUCUCCUAUUCUCAGAGGGUGAUGCUGCCCUAUUUCUUCAAACCAUUUGAGUCACACCAUUUUCAGUAACAGUCCCUUGUGCUUUCAGCAUCUGUCAAAACUCAGCUGAGAAAUGUCCCACAAACUUUCCACCCGGCAGGUUUCUUUUGCGAGUCUCCUGGACAGUGGGAUGUAUCUGGACCGUGUGCAGCUGGAUACUUUUGUCUCUCAGGAGCGGUGUCCCCCACACCUGUGGAUGGAGGAACGGGUGGUAGAUGUCCUCAAGGACACUACUGUCCCGUAGGGUCCUUGUCCCCUGAACCUUGUCCAGAAGGCUACUACAUCAACAGCAGCAGGAACACUAAGCUGUCUGACUGUCUGCCCUGCCCUCCAGGAUUUGCUUGUUCCAGUAGGGGGCUCUCCUCACCUUCUCAUGUGUGCCAGAGGGGCUACUACUGCCCACAGGGGCAAAUUUCCAGCCAUCCUGCUCACUUCAUCUGCUCACCUGGGCAUAUGUGUCCACCUGGCAGCCCUGCCCAGAUCCCCUGUCCGCUUGGGACAUACCAGAGCCUCCAGGGGCAGGUCAGUUGAGAGAGAGGCAUGAUUGUUUAACACCCUG